AUGAGACCUGUAGGGUGUGGAGCGUCCAGAGACGCAGACUGGAGACGUUGGUGGGCAAGCUGGUGCCUGCCUUCCUGGGCGGUGACCCUGCCUACCUCCCCACAUUCCUGGGCACCUACAGGGCUUUUGGCACCCCUCAGCAGGUGCUGGACCUUCUCUUCAUGAGGUACGGAUGCAUCCUCCCUUACUGCGAUGAGGAUGGUGGACCCCUGCACCAGCUGAAAAUGGCCAUGGCCUGCAUCCUGGGCACCUGGCUGCACCUUUACCCUGAGGAUUUCCAGCAGUCCCCAGAAUU